CCUACGGGAGGCAGCAGUGAGGAAUAUUGGUCAAUGGUCGGGAGACUGAACCAGCCAAGCCGCGUGAGGGAUGAAGGUACAGAGUAUCGUAAACCUCUUUUGUCAGGGAACAAAGGCGGGGACGCGUCCCUGUAUGAGUGUACCUGAAGAAAAAGCAUCGGCUAACUCCGUGCCAGCAGCCGCGGUAAUACGGAGGAUGCGAGCGUUAUCCGGAUUUAUUGGGUUUAAAGGGUGCGCAGGCGGUCUGUUAAGUCAGCGGUAAAAGCCCGGGGCUCAACCCCGGCCCGCCGUUGAAACUGGCAGUCUCGAGUUGGAGAGAAGUAUGCGGAAUGCGCGGUGUAGCGGUGAAAUGCAUAGAUAUCGCGCAGAACUCCGAUUGCGAAGGCAGCAUGCCGGCUCCACACUGACGCUGAGGCACGAAAGCGUGGGUAUCGAACAGGAUUAGAUACCCGAGUAGUC
rnacentral:rRNA from 1 species